rnacentral:rRNA from 1 species
GACGUAGGGUGCGAGCGUUAAUCGGAAUUACUGGGCGUAAAGCGUGCGCAGGCGGUUCACCAAGCUCGAUGUGAAAGCCCCGGGCUUAACCUGGGAAUUGCAUUGAGGACUGGUGUGCUCGAGUGCGGCAGAGGGGGGUGGAAUUCCACGUGUAGCAGUGAAAUGCGUAGAGAUGUGGAGGAACACCGAUGGCGAAGGCAGCCCCCUGGGCCGACACUGACGCUCAUGCACGAAAGCGUGGGGAGCAAACAGG